rnacentral:rRNA from 1 species
UAGGGAAUAUUGGACAAUGGGUGAGAGCCUGAUCCAGCCAUGCCGCGUGCAGGAAGAAGGCGUUAUGCGUUGUAAACUGCUUUUGCCAGGGGAUAAAAAGACCGUGCGCGGUUAAUUGAAGGUACCUGGUGAAUAAGCCACGGCUAACUACGUGCCAGCAGCCGCGGUAAUACGUAGGUGGCAAGCGUUGUCCGGAUUUAUUGGGUUUAAAGGGUGCGUAGGUGGCCCUGUAAGUCAGUGGUGAAAUAUCUCAGCUUAACUGAGAGGGUGCCAUUGAUACUGCAGGGCUUGAGUACAGAUGAGGUAGGCGGAAUUGACGGUGUAGCGGUGAAAUGCAUAGAUAUCGUCAAGAACACCGAUAGCGAAGGCAGCUUACCAAGCUGUAACUGACACUGAGGCACGAAAGUGUGGGGAUCAAACAGGAUUAGAUACCCUGGUAGUCCCUGAGCGGGCUGGCAAGGCGCAU